AAUCAAGUUAACAUUCACCAGACUCGAGAUGUUACCAUCACGUAUGGCACAUUGCCUAACGUUCCAAAUUUCAUGUUGUUGUUAUGGGGGAGAGCCAGAUAGAAAAGGUUGAGAAGUGAUAGUCUACAGAUACAAGAUUGUUAGAAAAAAUAUGCAGACCGCAGUUGACAAAAGUUAUGUAGUAGUAAUAAAUUUGUUUCUUCCUCAAGCUGUUCGCUCAGAAAAGAAAUUAUUGAUUGUAAGAGUUGAGGAACCGAAAAUCAGUUGUGUAAAUAUAGGCAGAUUAAGAUAAAGUCAGAGCUAAUAUCCAGAACUCCUUUCAGAGACUGUUCAUUAAAGUGUGUACAUCUAUGUUUUCAGAAUUCGGGGACGAAUUCUUUUGAGGGGGAAAGAAUGUAAUAACCCUCACGAGCAGAUAGAAUUUUGGUGGAGAAAUUUUUUUAAGAUAAGUUUGACGAUUGGUAGAUUAGAAUUUAAAUAAAAAUCGACACGGUGAAUUAAUCUUUCGACGGGGCU
rnacentral:lncRNA from 1 species